UCCCGCCCACUCACGAGUAGAAAUUUUAUUAUUUUACCCGAAUUCUGUGUCUCCGUGUAUUUUCUUUCCAAUAUUUCCAGAAUAUUUGGUUCCCUAACCAGGACUAAUUUCCUAGGCUCCCCAACAGGACACAGAGACCCGCUCACCAGCUGAGGGUCACCCGAACCCAAGAUGGAAGAUGACAGAAGGAGGGCCAUUGCUCUUGGUGUCUCAUCUGUCUCUUUCCUUUGCUGGAAAACCCAUCCAACACCUGGUGUUUGAACAGGGACCUGAAAGAUCCCAAGAUGAUUGUCUGAGGUGGCAGCAGGCAGAAUCCUGGGGUGGUGGUCUUCCUUCAUGUGGUAUAGGAUGGUGCACCUCCUAGAUGAGUGUCCACUGCAUGAGUACAAGGAUAACCCCCAAAUGCCUAAUGGACUGGAGAGCAUCCUGCAAUCCCUGAAGGAAUGAAUGUCUACUGCUUCAGUCUAUACAGUUGCUGUGGAGUAACAGCCCAGUACUCAGCUCUAGUCAAAGGAGUUAACACCCCCUCCAAGGCUCAGGGAACAUCACAGAAGAGGGACUGGAAAGACUGGACAAGCCAGAAGAAGGAAUGGAGUGUAGUGUGAGUUGUCCUCUGAACCAUACUCAAAGUAAUUCUAUUUUCAGUGGGUCCCUACCAAGUAGCCCAGUCCUGAGGCUGUGUGCUAGACUGUAGCACAAGGCCAUCCAUCACUAAAGCCACAUAGCACUUGCUAAGACCAACAAUUUCCUGCUAAGGAUGGGAGGGGAACAGAGUACACACGACUUUUCCCAAGGACCCUUCUUGCUUUUGAUCCUGCUUUUGACAUUUUAAUUAAUGUUACCUAAAACCAGUAGCCUAGCACAGGGUGCAUGGCAAUUUUGGUGAUAACUGCAGCCCACAAGUCAUCCCCUGCUCUGUGAGUAUGCCCUAAUACACUCAUUUUCACACCAAGCUGGACUGUCUGAGCUAUUCUUUGGACUGUUGGCUCCCUCUCUGUUCAGAGGUAGAUGUUUCUUUUACGUCUCUCCAGGGAAUUCACACAAGCUGAGGUAUCCAUCUUAUGCCCAUGAUCAGCAGAGUUCUUGGGCCUCCCCUAGAGCCACCCCUCACUCGGUUCUCAGGCCUAUGGACUUGGACUGAAUUAUACUACUGGCUUUCCUUGUUCUUGCAUACAGAAGGUUUCAGGACUUCUUGAUCUCCUGUGUGAGCCAAUUCCCAUAAUAAAUCUCCCCAUAUGUCUCUAUAUAUACCACCGUGUGGAGAUCAGCAGGGAAGAAUGAGGCCUAACUGGGCUCCUCUUUAGUGAGCACUGAGGAGAGGGCAUGCAAACCUGCUAACAUGUUGCAGGGAAAAUUAAAAACACCUGAGUUUAAGUUAUUUACUUGGAGAAGUACCAUGGAGGGUGGAAGACAGAUGAAUUCUGUGAAACUCUAAUUGCUUGUGCCAUGUCUGAAUAAAGCCAAGGUGCACCAGUCAUUAGGGGCUCUAUGUUGAAGGGCGACAUGAGGCCUCUGGCCCCCAAGAUUUUAACUUGUUUCUGUGUCUCUUUAUUUUUCAUCUU